CGUCCGAUCUAAAACCGACGGUCGCGAUCGGAAGGGGCCAAGUCAUUGUGGUUCGGUUCAGACGGAGCAAGCGGUCUUGUUCCUCUAGAGAACCCUCUGCCGUGCGGCGCGGUUCCUCUUCCGUUCAGAAGGCAAGUGCGAUUUUGGAUCCGCGACCUCCAGCUCCCGCUGCCCUCUCCCGCCGAGUCCCGGAGCUCCGUUCGUCGAUAUGGGGAACAGUACAUCUGCUACAACCGUCACCCCAGUUGCAGAAGAAAAAACAGGACAAACUCCAACGGCUGACACGAAGCCAAAGAAGAAGAUAUGCUGCGCCUGCCCUGACACAAAGAGGCUGAGGGACGAGUGCAUCGUGGAGCAUGGCGAGGACGCGUGCGGGAAAUGGAUCGAAGCCCAUCGCCUAUGCUUGAGAGCCGAAGGGUUCAACGUCUGAUACGUUCAUAGCGGGCUCUAAACUUGCUCCCGUCUUGGUUCUAAACGACGAACAAUGUCGGUUAACAGUUUGAUCGCUGGCAUUCCAGUUUGCGGGGAGGGAUGUUCUCCCCCCUAAUAGGCAUUCAGCGCCACAGAUGAUAUAUGGUGUUAUAAUGGUACUGUGUUGGGCUUUCUCCAAACGGUGUCAUUGUUUGGAGACAUUCUUGUUUCUUCCUGUCCACUGGUUGCACUGGCCACUGAAUUAUGGUGAUAGCAUAGUAAUGCUUACGGUCCCCCAUUCGUAA